AGGACGAACGCUGGCGGCGUGCUUAACACAUGCAAGUCGAACGAUGAUCCGGUUUCGGCCGGGGAUUAGUGGCGAACGGGUGAGUAACACGUGGGCAACCUGCCCUCCACUCUGGGAUAACUCCGGGAAACCGGGGCUAAUACUGGAUAUGAUCUUCGGGCGCAUGCCUGGGGGUGGAAAGUUUUUCGGUGGAGGAUGGGCCCGCGGCCUAUCAGCUUGUUGGUGGGUGAUGGCCUACCAAGGCGGUGACGGGUA
rnacentral:rRNA from 1 species